rnacentral:rRNA from 1 species
UUGAUCUCAAAUCAGGUAGGGCUACCCGCUGAACUUAAGCAUAUCAAUAAGCGGAGGAAAAGAAACUAACAAGGAUUCCCCUAGUAACUGCGAGUGAAGCGGGAAGAGCUCAAAUUUAAAAUCUGGCGUGCCUCUGGUCGUCCGAGUUGUAGUCUGGAGAAGCGUUUUCCGUGUUGGACCGUGUACAAGUCUCUUGGAACAGGGCGUCAUAGAGGGUGAGAAUCCCGUCUUUGACACGGACUACCAAUGCUUUGUGAUGCGCUCUCAAAGAGUCGAGUUGUUUGGGAAUGCAGCUCAAAAUGGGUGGUAAA